GACGAACCGUCCAAACGUUAUUCGGAAUCACUGGGCUUAAAGGGCGCGUAGGCGGCCGAGCGGGUCGCGGGUGAAAUCCUCCAGCUUAACUGGAGAACUGCCCUCGAUACCACUGCGGCUCGAGGAAGGAAGGGGCAAUCGGAACUGUCGGUGGAGCGGUGAAAUGCGUUGAUAUCGACAGGAACGCCGGUGGCGAAAGCGGAUUGGCUGGUCCUUUUCUGACGCUGAGGCGCGAAAGCCAGGGGAGCAAACGGG
rnacentral:rRNA from 1 species